GCCCGUGUGGCGAAAUUGGUAGACGCGCUACUUUGAGGGGGUAGUUUCCUACGGAUGUGCUGGUUCGAGUCCAGUCGCGGGCA
rnacentral:tRNA from 1 species